rnacentral:rRNA from 1 species
UACGGGGGGGGCAAGCGUUGUUCGGAAUUACUGGGCGUAAAGGGCUCGUAGGCGGCCAACUAAGUCGGACGUGAAAUCCCCGGGCUCAACCCGGGAACUGCGUCCGAUACUGGCAGGCUUGAAUCCGGGAGAGGGAUGUGGAAUUCCAGGUGUAGCGGUGAAAUGCGUAGAUAUCGGGAGGAACACCAGUGGCGAAGGCGACUACCUGGCCUGUUCUUGACGCUGAGGCGCGAAAGCGAGGGUAGCAAACGGG